GAAAUGCGAUAAGUAAUGUGAAUUGCAGAAUUCAGUGAAUCAUCGAAUCUUUGAACGCACAUUGCGCCCGCCAGUAUUCUGGCGGGCAUGCCUGUUCGAGCGUCAUUUCAACCAUCAAGCCCCGGGCUUGUGUUGGGGACCUGCGGCUGCCGCAGGCCCUGAAAAGCAGUGGCGGGCUCGCUGUCACACCGAGCGUAGUAGCAUACAUCUCGCUCUGGGCGUGCUGCGGGUUCCGGCCGUUAGACCACCUUCGUAACCCAAGGUUGACCUCGGAUCAGGUAGGAAGACCCGCUGAACUUAAGC
rnacentral:misc_RNA from 1 species